GACGAACGCUGGCGGCGUGCUUAACACAUGCAAGUCGAACGGAAAGGCCCUGCUUUUGUGGGGUGCUCGAGUGGCGAACGGGUGAGUAACACGUGAGUAACCUGCCCUUGACUUUGGGAUAACUUCAGGAAACUGGGGCUAAUACCGGAUAGUAGCACCUGCUGCAUGGUGGGGGUUGGAAAGUUUCGGCGGUUGGGGAUGGACUCGCCGCUUAUCAGGUUGUUGGUUGGGUAGUGGCUUACCAAGGCUUUGACGGGUAGCCGGCCUGAGAGGGUGACCGGCCACAUUGGGACAGAGAUACGGCCCAGACUCCUACGGGAGGCAGCAGUGGGGAAUAUUGCAUGAUGGGCGGAAGCCUGAUGCAGCAACGCCGCGUGCGGGAUGACGGCCUUCGGGUUGUAAACCGCUUUCGCCUGUGACGAAGCGUGAGUGACGGUAAUGGGUAAAGAAGCACCGGCUAACUACGUG
rnacentral:rRNA from 1 species